GAAAUGCGAUAAGUAAUGUGAAUUGCAGAAUUCAGUGAAUCAUCGAAUCUUUGAACGCACCUUGCGCUCCUUGGUAUUCCUUGGAGCAUGCCUGUUUGAGUAUCAUGAAAUCUUCAAAGUAAAUCUUUUGUUAACUCAAUUGGUUUCUACUUUGGUAUUGGAGGUCUUUGCAGCUUCACACCUGCUCCUCUUUGUUCAUUAGCUGGAUCUCAGUGUUAUGCUUGGUUCCACUCGGCGUGAUAAGUUAUCUAUCGCUGAGGACACUGUAAAAGGUGGCCAGGUAAAUGCAGAUGAACCGCUUCUAAUAGUCCAUUGACUUGGACAAUACUUUUAUGAUCUGAUCUCAAAUCAGGUAGGACUACCCGCUGAACUUAAGC
rnacentral:misc_RNA from 1 species